GUGGGGAAUAUUGGACAAUGGGGGGAACCCUGAUCCAGCCAUGCCGCGUGUGUGAAGAAGGCCUUUUGGUUGUAAAGCACUUUAAGCGAGGAGGAGGCUACCGAGAUUAAUACUCUUGGAUAGUGGACGUUACUCGCAGAAUAAGCACCGGCUAACUCUGUGCCAGCAGCCGCGGUAAUACAGAGGGUGCGAGCGUUAAUCGGAUUUACUGGGCGUAAAGCGUGCGUAGGCGGCUUUUUAAGUCGGAUGUGAAAUCCCCGAGCUUAACUUGGGAAGUGCAUUCGAUACUGGGAAGCUAGAGUAUGGGAGAGGAUGGUAGAAUUCCAGGUGUAGCGGUGAAAUGCGUAGAGAUCUGGAGGAAUACCGAUGGCGAAGGCAGCCAUCUGGCCUAAUACUGACGCUGAGGUACGAAAGCAUGGGGAGCAAACAGGAUUAGAAACCCCAGUAGUCC
rnacentral:rRNA from 1 species